CCUACGGGAGGCAGCAGUGGGGAAUAUUGCACAAUGGGGGAAACCCUGAUGCAGCGACGCCGCGUGAGUGAAGAAGUAUUACGGUAUGUUAAGCUCUAUCAGCAGGGAAGAAGAAAGACGGUACCUGACUCAGAAGCACCGGCUAACUACGUGCCAGCAGGCGCGGUAAUACGGAGGGGGCAAGGGUUAACCGGAUUUACUGGGUGUAAAGGGAGUGUAGACAGCUGUGCAAGUCUGAAGUGAAAGCCCAGGGCUCAACCCCGGGACUGCUUUGGAAACUGUGGAGCUAGAGUGCUGGAGAGGUAAGUGGAAUGCGUGGUGUAGCGGUGAAAUGCGUAGAUAUUAGGAAGAACACCAGUGGCGAAGGCAGCUUGCUGGACAGUAACUGACGUUGAGGCUCGAAAGCGUGGGGAGCAAACAGGAUUAGAUACCCUUGUAGUC
rnacentral:rRNA from 1 species